rnacentral:rRNA from 1 species
CAGGCCUAACACAUGCAAGUCGAACGGAAAGGCCCUGCUUUUGUGGGGUGCUCGAGUGGCGAACGGGUGAGUAACACGUGAGUAACCUGCCCUUGACUUUGGGAUAACUUCAGGAAACUGGGGCUAAUACCGGAUAGGAGCUCCUGCUGCAUGGUGGGGGUUGGAAAGUUUCGGCGGUUGGGGAUGGACUCGCGGCUUAUCAGCUUGUUGGUGGGGUAGUGGCUUACCAAGGCUUUGACGGGUAGCCGGCCUGAGAGGGUGACCGGCCACAUUGGGACUGAGAUACGGCCCAGACUCCUACGGGAGGCAGCAGUGGGGAAUAUUGCACAAUGGGCGGAAGCCUGAUGCAGCAACGCCGCGUGCGGGAUGACGGCCUUCGGGUUGUAAACCGCUUUCGCCUGUGACGAAGCGUGAGUGACGGUAAUGGGUAAAGAAGCACCGGCUAACUACGUGCCAGCAGCCGCGGUGAUACGUAGGGUGCGAGCGUUGUCCGGAUUUAUUGGGCGUAAAGGGCUCGUAGGUGGUUGAUCGCGUCGGAAGUGUAAUCUUGGGGCUUAACCCUGAGCGUGCUUUCGAUACGGGUUGACUUGAGGAAGGUAGGGGAGAAUGGAAUUCCUGGUGGAGCGGUGGAAUGCGCAGAUAUCAGGAGGAACACCAGUGGCGAAGGCGGUUCUCUGGGCCUUUCCUGACGCUGAGGAGCGAAAGCGUGGGGAGCGAACAGGCUUAGAUACCCUAUAGUCCACGCUGUAA